CCCUGAAUCCCCACCCACAAGAAAUGCCCCAGACUAGAAACACACAUUCAUGCACACUCACCCACAUGGACACACACACACACACAUGCACCUAUUUUCACACGGGCACAUCCUCAAGUUCAUGAACCCAGAGCUGCAGCUUUUCUCAUUUAGACACAGGUGGCAGCUGGGGACCCUUCAUUUGCAUAGCGACCUGAGGCUCAGCACAUUGACAGCGUGCAUUGAACGCUCACACCAGAGCGUGUUAAAACCACACAGACCAGUGGAGAUGCCCUUUGAUGGAGAAAGGCUCUCAAAAUCAGCCCAAGUCUGUUCCCAGGCAGGGACACAGAAGACACCAGUGUGAAAGUAGAGAUCUACACAUCUGUGAACUCUUCCCCAUGUUCAAGGAAGACCCCACUGGAGGCCUUGGAGCUGUCCCUCCCCCCUUCAG
rnacentral:lncRNA from 1 species